rnacentral:rRNA from 1 species
AUGAUGCCCAGCUUGCUGGGUGGAUUAGUGGCGAACGGGUGAGUAACACGUGAGUAACCUGCCCCUGACUCUGGGAUAAGCGUUGGAAACGACGUCUAAUACUGGAUAUGAUCACUGGCCGCAUGGUCUGGUGGUGGAAAGAUUUUUUGGUUGGGGAUGGACUCGCGGCCUAUCAGCUUGUUGGUGAGGUAAUGGCUCACCAAGGCGACGACGGGUAGCCGGCCUGAGAGGGUGACCGGCCACACUGGGACUGAGACACGGCCCAGACUCCUACGGGAGGCAGCAGUGGGGAAUAUUGCACAAUGGGCGAAAGCCUGAUGCAGCAACGCCGCGUGAGGGAUGACGGCCUUCGGGUUGUAAACCUCUUUUAGUAGGGAAGAAGCGAAAGUGACGGUACCUGCAGAAAAAGCACCGGCUAACUACGUGCCAGCAGCCGCGGUAAUACGUAGGGUGCAAGCGUUGUCCGGAAUUAUUGGGCGUAAAGAGCUCGUAGGCGGUUUGUCGCGUCUGCUGUGAAAUCCCGAGGCUCAACCUCGGGCUUGCAGUGGGUACGGGCAGACUAGAGUGCGGUAGGGGAGAUUGGAAUUCCUGGUGUAGCGGUGGAAUGCGCAGAUAUCAGGAGGAACACCGAUGGCGAAGGCAGAUCUCUGGGCCGUAACUGACGCUGAGGAGCGAAAGCAUGGGGAGCGAACAGGAUUAGAUACCCUGGUAGUCCAUGCCGUAAACGUUGGGCGCUAGAUGUAGGGACCUUUCCACGGUUUCUGUGUCGUAGCUAACGCAUUAAGCGCCCCGCCUGGGGAGUACGGCCGCAAGGCUAAAACUCAAAGGAAUUGACGGGGGCCCGCACAAGCGGCGGAGCAUGCGGAUUAAUUCGAUGCAACGCGAAGAACCUUACCAAGGCUUGACAUACACCGGAAACGGCCAGAGAUGGUCGCCCCCUUGUGGUCGGUGUACAGGUGGUGCAUGGUUGUCGUCAGCUCGUGUCGUGAGAUGUUGGGUUAAGUCCCGCAACGAGCGCAACCCUCGUUCUAUGUUGCCAGCGGGUUAUGCCGGGGACUCAUAGGAGACUGCCGGGGUCAACUCGGAGGAAGGUGGGGAUGACGUCAAAUCAUCAUGCCCCUUAUGUCUUGGGCUUCACGCAUGCUACAAUGGCCGGUACAAAGGGCUGCGAUACCGUAAGGUGGAGCGAAUCCCAAAAAGCCGGUCUCAGUUCGGAUUGAGGUCUGCAACUCGACCUCAUGAAGUCGGAGUCGCUAGUAAUCGCAGAUCAGCAACGCUGCGGUGAAUACGUUCCCGGGCCUUGUACACACCGCCCGUCAAGUCAUGAAAGUCGGUAACACCCGAAGCCGGUGGCCUAACC